GCUGGGCCUGUGGUGCCCCCAAGGCUGCCCAGCCUGUGUCUCCUGCAGCUCGGUGGGAAGGAGGAGGAGGAGGAAGAGGAAGAGGAGCUGACUGAGAGGAGUGAGCAGGACUCUGGGAUCAAUGAGGAGCCGCUGCUGACAGCUGAGCAGGUCAUCGAGGAGCUGGAGGAGCUCAUGCAGAGUUCACCCGACCCCGAGGCUGACCCCGAGGGUGAAGAGGAAGAGGAGGAGGAGGAGGAUGAGGAGGAGGAGGAAGAAAGCAAGGCUGAUGCUGAAGGCAAAGGUGGUGGUGGGGGCACGGAGCCCAUCGUGCUGCGGGAGCUGCAUGCUUUCUCCCCUGCCCUCAACAACAACUGCUCCCACGAAGGUACGGCCAGCAAAGCCCAGGCCAGUCACUUUUUGGGGACAAUUCCAACCAAAUUGGACAACUGAGUCUCUCCAGGCCUCAGUGCUGGCUUGCUCUGGGACUUUGCCAGAAGGGCUCUUGGCAAAAACUGUGAAGAACACAGGGAUGUGGCUUCUGGUGUGGAAAGGCACGUGGGGGUCACCAGGAGCCUUUGUGUUCUGCAUGGGGGUUCCAUGCACGUGAGAUUUGUCACUGCUGGCGUGGGCUGUGUCACCAGCAGGCCCAGGCACUUCACUCAUUGCUCUGCUCUUUAUCUCACUGUGCAGCUUACCAAUCACACCAUGUCACUAAUGGCACUGUGCAUGUCACCAAUUGCACCAUGCAUGUCCAUAAUCACACCAUACAUGUCACCAGUUGCACGAUGCAUGUCAAUGAUUGCACCACACGUCACUAAUUGCACCAUACAUGUCACUAAUCACAGCCUGCCUGUCACUAAUUGCACUGUGAGUAUCACUGAGUGCACCUCGCAUGUCACUAAUGGUGCCAGAAGUCCCUUAAUUGCUCUGGGCACAUCGUUUAUGGCUCUGAGCAUAUCAGUAAUUGCACUCUGGGUUUAUCUCUUGCUGUCUCAGAAAAUGCAGAGCCCAUCUCGCUGAGCAGAGAUGCAUUUUACUGGCUGCAGUGUGUGUUUCACUGACUGCACUGGGGUGUCCCUGACUGCACCAGGCAUUCCCUCCUUUCCCCAUGCAUGGCACUGCCUGCAGCGAGUCCAGAGGAGGCCACGGGGAUGCGCCAAAGGCUGCAGCUCCUCUGCUGGGGUGACAAACUGGGAGAGCUGGGGAAGAGAAGGCUCUGGGGAGAGCUCAGAGCCCUGGCAGGGCCUAAAGGGGCUCCAGGGGAGCUGGAGAGGGACUGGGGACAAGGGAUGGAGGGACAGGACACAGGGAAUGGCUCCCACUGCCAGAGGGCAGGGCUGGAUGGGAU
rnacentral:lncRNA from 1 species